rnacentral:rRNA from 1 species
UACUAUGUUACGACUUAUCUCACUCCUGAGAGCGACGGGCGAUAUGUGCAUAUUUUAGAGCUCUAUUCAAAUAUUCAUAAUAUUAAUAUUUUACUAUUAAAUCCUAAAAAUCUUUUUUCAAAAAAUAAAUAACAUAAAAAUUAAUGUAAUUCACCUCAUUCAUAAUUAUUUGUUGCACCAUGACUUAAUAUAUUUUUUGAAUAAAAAAUUUAAAAUAUAACUAUUCAAUAUAUCUAAAUAUAGUGGUAUACAAACUGAAUUUGAAUAACAAAAUUAAGUAAGAUUCAGGCGUUGUAUCCAUCACAGGGCAAAUUCCUCUAAUAAGCUUAAAAUACCGCCAAAAUUUUAUGAUUUCAUAAAUUAUAUUUACUACCAAUAUAUAGCUUAAAAUAAUAGGGUAUCUAAUCCUAGUUU